GACGAACGCUGGCGGCGUGCUUAACACAUGCAAGUCGUACGGUAAGGCCCUUUCGGGGGUACACGAGUGGCGAACGGGUGAGUAACACGUGAGUAACCUGCCCACAACUUUGGGAUAACGCUAGGAAACUGGUGCUAAUACUGGAUAUGUGCUCCUGCUGCAUGGUGGGGGUUGGAAAGCUCCGGCGGUUGUGGAUGGACUCGCGGCCUAUCAGCUUGUUGGUGGGGUAGUGGCCUACCAAGGCGGCGACGGGUAGCCGGCCUGAGAGGGUGACCGGCCACAUUGGGACUGAGAUACGGCCCAGACUCCUACGGGAGGCAGCAGUGGGGAAUAUUGCACAAUGGGCGCAAGCCUUAUGCAGCAACGCCGCGUGCGGGAUGACGGCCUUCGGGUUGUAAACCGCUUUCAGCAGGGACGAAGCUUUUUGUGACGGUACCUGCAGAAGAAGCACCGGCUAACUACGUG
rnacentral:rRNA from 1 species